AGGUAGAGAGGGCCGGGUGCCAACUCCUUCCCCAACUUCUCACUGGAAAAGUGGCUGCCUUCCUCCGUCUCCCUCCCCUGGGCUCCGGCCAGGGGAGCAAGGCCCGCUGUGGACAUGAGGAACUCCCUGCCCUGUCCUGGACCUGGGCUAUGCUCCUGAUUUUAUACAGACUGCCAUGGCUCCAGAUAUAAAAGACCAAAUAAAAAGAUGAGGGAGAGGGAGGGACCAAGAUGGCUGACCAGAAGCAGUUGCAGUUGGAGACUCCCACCAAGAAGAAAGAAAAAGAGACAACAUCUCCCUAUAUUGUGCAGGUUGGCCUCAAGAGAUCCUCCCACCUCGGUCACCCAAAGUGUUGGGAUUACAGGCAUGAGCCACCAUGCCUGGACUGUCAUUGAUUUUUUAAUAUUAAACUAAUCUUCAUGCCUAGGAUAAAUCUCACUUGGCCAUGAUAUAGUAUCCUUUAUAUAUGUUGUUUGAUUUACUUUUCAGAAAUUUGUAUUAUAAUUUUUGUAUCUAUGUUCAUGAGGGAUACUGGUCUACAUUUUUAUUGAAAUAUCUUUGUCAAGAUUUUGGUCUCAUGGUAAUGCUUAUAUCAAAGACUUGUGAAGUAUUCCCUCCUCUUUGAUUUUCUGGGAGAGUUUUGUAGAAUUGGUAUUAUUUCUUCCAUAAGUGUUUGGUAGUAUUUACAGUGAAGCCACCUUAGCCUGGAGAUUUCUUUGUGGGAAGGUUUCUAGCUACAAAUUUAAUUUUUAAAAUAAAGUCAUGGCUAUUCAGAUUAUCUAUUUCCUUUUUAGUAAACUUUGGUUACUUCUGUCUUUUAAGGAAAUGUGUAUAUUGCAUCUCUAGGUUGUCAAAUUUAUUGCAUGAGAUCAUAUAUAUUUCCUUAUUUUUCACCAUCUGUGGAAUCUUAGUUAUGUUAUUUCUGUCACCCCCAAUAUUGGUAAUUUGUGUUUGCUCUCUUUUUUCCUACUCAGUUUGGCUAGAGGUUUAUCAAUUUUAUUGAUCUUCUUAGGAAAUCAGCUUUGGGUUUCACUAAUUUUCUCUUAUAUUUUGCUUUUUUCAACUUCAUUGAUCUCUGCUGUGGUUUUUAUAUUUCCUUUUUUCUGCUUACUUUGGGUUUCAUUUACUUUUCUUUUUCUAGUGUCUUAGAAUGAAAACUGGAGGUCACUGACUUGAGAUUUUCCUUCUUUUAUAAUAGAGGCCUUUACAUGCUGUUUACCUCUAAAUUUUACCUUAGUGGUGUGGAGGCAGAAUAAUGCCCCUACCCAGAGGUGUCCAUAUUAUAAUUCCCAGAAGCUGUGAAUAUAUUACCUUACAUGGCAAAAGGGAUUUUGCAGAAAUGAUUAAGUUGAGGAUUUUGAAAUGAGGAGAGUAUUCUGGAUU